UUAAGAGCAGAUGGCGGAUGCCUUGCCAAAGAGAGGCGAUGAAGGACGUACUAGACUGCGAUAAGCUAUGUGGAGCUGUCAAGGAGCUUUGAUGCGUAGAUGUCCGAAUGGGGCAACCCAACUAAUAGAGAUAUUAGUUACUCUUUAACAGAGAGCGAACCUAGUGAAGUGAAACAUCUCAGUAACUAGAGGAAAAGAAAUCAACGAGAUUCCCUAAGUAGUGGCGAGCGAACGGGGAAAAGGGCAAACCGAGUGCUUGCAUUCGGGGUUGAGGACUGCAACAUCCAAGAGAACGCUUUAGCAGAGUUACCUGGAAAGGUAAGCCAUAGAAAGUGAUAGCCUUGUAUGCGACAAGGCGUUCUUAGGUAGCAGGAUCCAGAGUAGGCCAGGACACGAGAAAUCCAGGUUGAAGCCGGGGAGACCACUCUCCAACCCUAAAUACUACUCUUUGAGCGAUAGCGAACAAGUACCGUGAGGGAAAGGUGAAAAGAACCGCAGUGAGCGGAGUGAAAUAGAACCUGAAACCAUCUGCUUACAAUCAUUCAGAGCCCUAUGAUUUAUCAGGGUGAUGGACUGCCUUUUGCAUAAUGAUCCUGCGAGUUGUGGUAUCUGGCAAGGUUAAGCGAAUGCGAAGCCGUAGCGAAAGCGAGUCUUAAUAGGGCGAACAAGUCAGAUGCUGCAGACCCGAAGCUAAGUGAUCUAUCCAUGGCCAAGUUGAAACGCGUGUAAUAGCGCGUGGAGGACUGAACUCGUACCCAUUGAAACGGGUUGGGAUGAGCUGUGGAUAGGGGUGAAAGGCCAAACAAACUUAGUGAUAGCUGGUUCUCUUCGAAAUAUAUUUAGGUAUAGCCUCAAGUGAUAAUAAAAGGGGGUAGAGCCCUGAUUGGGCUAGGGCUGCUCGCCGCGGUACCAAACCCUAUCAAACUUCGAAUACCUUUUAUCGUAUCUUGGGAGUCAGGCGGUGGGUGAUAAAAUCAAUCGUCAAAAGGGGAACAACCCAGACUACCAAAUAAGGUCCCUAAGUUCUAUUCUGAGUGGAAAAAGAUGUGUGGCUACUCAAACAACCAGGAGGUUGGCUUAGAAGCAGCCAUCCUUUAAAGAAAGCGUAACAGCUCACUGGUCUAGUGGUCAUGCGCUGAAAAUAUAACGGGGCUAAGAUAGACACCGAAUUUGUAGAUUGUGUUAAACACAGUGGUAGAAGAGCGUUCAUACCAGCGUUGAAGGUAUACCGGCAAGGAGUGCUGGAGCGGUAUGAAGUGAGCAUGCAGGAAUGAGUAACGAUAAGAUAUAUGAGAAUUGUAUCCGCCGUAAAUCUAAGGUUUCCUACGCGAUGGUCGUCAUCGUAGGGUUAGUCGGGUCCUAAGCCGAGUCCGAAAGGGGUAGGUGAUGGCAAAUUGGUUAAUAUUCCAAUACCGACUAUGGAGCGUGAUGGGGGGACGCAUAGGGUUAAGCGAGCUAGCUGAUGGAAGCGCUAGUCUAAGGGCGUAGAUUGGAGGGAAGGCAAAUCCACCUCUGUAUUUGAAACCCAAACAGGCUCUUUGAGUCCUUUUAGGACAAAGGGAGAAUCGCUGAUACCGUCGUGCCAAGAAAAGCCUCUAAGCAUAUCCAUAGUCGUCCGUACCGCAAACCGACACAGGUAGAUGAGAUGAGUAUUCUAAGGCGCGUGAAAGAACUCUGGUUAAGGAACUCUGCAAACUAGCACCGUAAGUUCGCGAUAAGGUGUGCCACAGCGAUGUGGUCUCAGCAAAGAGUCCCUCCCGACUGUUUACCAAAAACACAGCACUUUGCCAACUCGUAAGAGGAAGUAUAAGGUGUGACGCCUGCCCGGUGCUCGAAGGUUAAGAGGAUGCGUCAGUCGCAAGAUGAAGCGUUGAAUUGAAGCCCGAGUAAACGGCGGCCGUAACUAUAACGGUCCUAAGGUAGCGAAAUUCCUUGUCGGUUAAAUACCGACCUGCAUGAAUGGCGUAACGAGAUGGGAGCUGUCUCAACCAGAGAUUCAGUGAAAUUGUAGUGGAGGUGAAAAUUCCUCCUACCCGCGGCAAGACGGAGAGACCCCGUGGACCUUUACUACAACUUAGCACUGCUAAUGGGAAUAUCAUGCGCAGGAUAGGUGGGAGGCUUUGAAGUAAGGGCUUUGGCUCUUAUGGAGCCAUCCUUGAGAUACCACCCUUGAUGUUUCUGUUAGCUAACUGGCCUGUGUUAUCCACAGGCAGGACAAUGCUUGGUGGGUAGUUUGACUGGGGCGGUCGCCUCCUAAAAAGUAACGGAGGCUUGCAAAGGUUGGCUCAUUGCGGUUGGAAAUCGCAAGUUGAGUGUAAUGGCACAAGCCAGCCUGACUGUAAGACAUACAAGUCAAGCAGAGACGAAAGUCGGUCAUAGUGAUCCGGUGGUUCUGUGUGGAAGGGCCAUCGCUCAAAGGAUAAAAGGUACCCCGGGGAUAACAGGCUGAUCUCCCCCAAGAGCUCACAUCGACGGGGAGGUUUGGCACCUCGAUGUCGGCUCAUCGCAUCCUGGGGCUGGAGCAGGUCCCAAGGGUAUGGCUGUUCGCCAUUUAAAGCGGUACGCGAGCUGGGUUCAGAACGUCGUGAGACAGUUCGGUCCCUAUCUGCCGUGGGCGUAGGAAAGUUGAGGAGAGCUGUCCCUAGUACGAGAGGACCGGGAUGGACGUGUCACUGGUGCACCAGUUGUUCUGCCAAGAGCAUCGCUGGGUAGCUACACACGGAUGUGAUAACUGCUGAAAGCAUCUAAGCAGGAAGCCAACUCCAAGAUAAACUUUCCCUGAAGCUCGCACAAAGACUAUGUGCUUGAUAGGGUAGAUGUGUGAGUGCAGUAAUGCGUUUAGCUGACUACUACUAAUAGAGCGUUUGGCUUGUUU
rnacentral:rRNA from 1 species